GAACGUGCGUGCGUGCGUGCGUGUGUGUGUGUGUGUGUGUGUGUGUGUGUCUC
rnacentral:miRNA from 1 species